UGACGAGUUUGAUCCUGGCUCAGAUUGAACGCUGGCGGAAUGCUUUACACAUGCAAGUCGAACGGUAGAGGGGGCAACCCCUUGAGAGUGGCGAACGGGUGAGUAAUAUAUCGGAACGUGCCCAGUCGUGGGGGAUAACGCAGCGAAAGUUACGCUAAUACCGCAUACGAUCUACGGAUGAAAGCGGGGGACUCGCAAGAGCCUCGCGCGAUUGGAGCGGCCGAUAUCAGAUUAGCUAGUUGGUGGGUAAAGGCCUACCAAGGCAACGAUCUGUAGUUGGUCUGAGAGGACGACCAGCCACACUGGGGACUGAGACACGGCCCAGACUCCUACGGGAGGCAGCAGUGGGGAAUUUUGGACAAUGGGCGCAAGCCUGAUCCAGCAAUGCCGCGUGCAGG
rnacentral:rRNA from 1 species